GGGUCAGUAGGUUGGUCGUGCCACCGGUACGUACUGGUCUCACUGAUUCCUCCUUCCUGAAGAACCGUAAUGCCAUUAAUUUGGUGCUGCGGGGAAACAGGACUGUUACUUUGAAAAAAUUAGAGUGAUUAAAGCAAGCUAGCGCUUGAAUACAUUAGCAUGGAAUAAUGAAAUAGGACGAUCGAUCCUAUUUUGUUGGUUUCUAGGAUUGACGUA
rnacentral:rRNA from 1 species